rnacentral:rRNA from 1 species
UACAGAGGUGGCAAGCGUUGUUCGGAAUUACUGGGCGUAAAGGGCGCGUAGGCGGCCCGUCAAGUCCCGUGUGAAAGCCCCCGGCUCAACCGGGGAACGGCGCGGGAAACUAGCAGGCUUGAGUUCGGGAGAGGGAAGCGGAAUUCCGGGUGUAGCGGUGAAAUGCGCAGAUAUCCGGAGGAACACCGGUGGCGAAGGCGGCUUCCUAGACCGACACUGACGCUGAGGCGCGAAAGCUAGGGGAGCAAACGGG